rnacentral:piRNA from 1 species
UUGAGUAGGAAUUAUUGAGAAUUAAGU